rnacentral:rRNA from 1 species
GGAUAACUUACCCUUAGGACUGGGAUAACUCUGGGAAACUGGGGAUAAUACUGGAUAUUAGGCUAUGCCUGGAAUGGUUUGCCUUUGAAAUGUUUUUUUUUCGCCUAAGGAUAGGUCUGCGGCUGAUUAGGUCGUUGGUGGGGUAAUGGCCCACCAAGCCGAUGGUCGGUACGGGUUGUGAGAGCAAGGGCCCGGAGAUGGAACCUGAGGCAAGGUUCCAGACCCUACGGGGUGCAGCAGGCGCGAAACCUCCGCAAUGUACGAAAGUGCGACGGGGGGAUCCCAAGUGUUAUGCUUUUUUGUAUGACUUUUCAUUAGUGUAAAAAGCUUUUAGAAUAAGAGCUGGGCAAGACCGGUGCCAGCCGCCGCGGUAACACCGGCAGCUCGAGUGGUAGCUGUUUUUAUUGGGCCUAAAGCGUUCGUAGCCGGUUUGAUAAGUCUUUGGUGAAAGCUUGUAGCUUAACUAUAAGAAUUGCUGGAGAUACUAUUAGACUUGAAGUCGGGAGAGGUUAGAGGUACUACCGGGGUAGGGGUGAAAUCCUAUAAUCCUGGGAGGACCACCUGUGGCGAAGGCGUCUAACUGGAACGAUCUUGACGGUGAGUAACGAAAGCCAGGGGCGCGAACCGGAUUAGAUACCCGGGUAGUCCUGGCCGUAAACGAUGUGGACUUGGUGUUGGAAUGGCUUUGAGUUGUUCCGGUGCCGAAGGGAAGCUGUUAAGUCCACCGCCUGGGAAGUACGGUCGCAAGACUGAAACUUAA